rnacentral:lncRNA from 1 species
GUCCUGAUAAUGCUUCCUGUCAUCUUUAGGACUACGUCCUCGAUUCAUCUACCAGUACUCCAUCAUCGAGGUUAGCGGGCUGCCAAGCUGACCAAACUGGCCCUGAAAGCAGCCGUUGUGAAGUAAACCAACAUCAAAAUAGUCAACAAAAGAAAAACAACUUACCAAAACCAAGAUGGCGGCCUACAUAUGGUGUCCUCUACUACCUGCUCCUGAC